CUCUUAAGGGGCAAGUUCACGCGUAGUUUCUUCCUCAAGUUAUCUCCCAUUGUAUGAACCAAUAAUCACGUGUCCAUGGGGUUAACUGCACAUGGACAAACCCCUUGCUUCGGCCUUCUGUUCAUUUUAUAGCUACGAUUCUGCCAUCGGUUGUCUUGGUUUGUUAUUGGGCUGCUUUGGAGGCGGACUUCUAUUUUGUGUCGGUAUCAUUAUUCAUAUUAGUAAAAAAAUAUAUUUUUAAGUCAUCAGAACUGAGCCUUUUGGUCCCAUCAUAGAUAAAUGAUCUCUGUGGAGGACCCGUACGCAAGGGGGACUGGAAUUGGUCAACUCAUUUUAUACAUCUACAAAAUAAUGUAUUAUCAAAAUAAUGAUAAUCCUCUUUCCUAAGCGCAUGAUGGUCCUGAUUUUCUCACAUACAUUCCAAGUUGAAAAGGGAGGGUACGUUGUGCUUCUUCCAAUGUCAAAACUGAAACGGACCAUUUCCUUGUCCUCUUCCCCCCCCCCCCCCGACCCUCCCACUCCAGAGGAAAUGGGUCACUGUGACAGUGUCUACCUGGAUGAGGUCGGAGACACUCAGGUGGUGGUCUUCAACCACGUGAAAUAGGAGGGUGCCAUCUUCCACCCUGGUAAUUAGCGAUCCAUGACAACCGGAUGGUGAUAUCGACGCCGAGCCAUGACGAAGGGGUCAACCACCUUCAAGGUUCUGGCCGAGACAAGGGACUUGUGCCAGGUGCCGGCGCUAAGAUAUUGAAAUGGCUAGGACAGAUCACAUCGUAUGGAGAGGUUACAGAACAUGGACGUUUGUGUUAAACUAAUUGUCGUUUACCCACACCUUAACUAGUAUGACUCCCUUUCUAGUCGUUUCGGUCUUUGAGCAGUGUGUAAUGAAACAACUUUCCCCCGACCCCCCCCCCCCCCCCCCCCCCCUCCUCGCUCUCUCUAGUCUUGUCCGGGUCUGGGCGUAUGCCAUUAAAGAAAGUUUGCUGAGGCGUUUGAGGCGGUGCCCAGGCGUUGGCAGGAGAACUAUGGCAUCAAGGGAAACGAGCUCAUAUCCAAACUGUACGCCGUGACAUCAUGAGGGCAACAAGACAUGGGCUUUGACAUCGAGGUGUGUGACAGCUUCUUCCUGUUGCAUUUCCG
rnacentral:lncRNA from 1 species